rnacentral:rRNA from 1 species
AAUGCGCGAAAGCGUGACGCAGCAACGCCGCGUGAGGGAAGACGGCCUUCGGGUUGUAAACCUCUUUCAGUUGGGACGAAGCCUCUGCGGUUAAUACCCGCAUGGGGUGACGGUACCUUCACAAGAAGCUCCGGCUAACUACGUGCCAGCAGCCGCGGUAAUACGUAGGGGGCAAGCGUUGUCCGGAAUUAUUGGGCGUAAAGAGUGUGUAGGCGGCUUGGUAAGUCUGCUCUGAAAGCCAGGGGCUCAACCCCUGGAGGCGGGUGGAUACUGUCAAGCUUGAGUCCGGAAGAGGCGAGUGGAAUUCCCGGUGUAGCGGUGAAAUGCGCAGAUAUCGGGAGGAACACCAAUGGCGAAGGCAGCUCGCUGGGACGUGACUGACGCUGAGACACGAAAGCGUGGGGAGCAAA